CACUUGCCAUAGUUUUGUUACAGAGACAUAGUUGGUGUGCAGUAUUCCUAAAAAGAUGUUCAUUUUGACCUCUAAACCUGCUAUAUUAUAUUAUUUUAGCUGCAACAUGCUGACACAUCUCUGUCCUUCAUCGACGCUGCACCACUGAGUCAGAGGACGCCUGAACGGCAUCAAUAUCGUACGUUCACACCACUGAAGUAACAACCAAAGACUUUCAAACCUUUUCCCGUUAAUUAUAUUUAUUACGUCUUGGCUUGUUGGAGUUGUGGCGUGACCCCAGUAUGCAGAGAUAGGACCAGACUGCAGGUACAAAUAUCAAAAAGGUUGAUGCCCCCCUUUACCUCCAGCAAGUCAGCCAGUUAAAGCCUCUGUCACUAGCGUGAUGACCAGGCUAAAGGCGACACCGUGACUCCC